rnacentral:rRNA from 1 species
CGAACGCUGGCGGCGUGGAUUAGGCAUGCAAGUCGAACGAGAAAGAUUCCUUCGGGAAUCGAGUAGAGUGGCAAACGGGUGAGUAACGCGUGGGAAACCUGCCCUUCGAUUGGGGAUAACACUUCUAACGGAGUGCUAAUACCGAAUAUGAUCUAACUGUUUCAUGACGGAUUGAUUAAAGGCGGCCUCUGCUUGCAUGCUGUCGUCGAAGGAUGGUCCCGCGUCCCAUUAGCUUGUUGGUGAGGUAACGGCUCACCAAGGCAACGAUGGGUAGCCGGCCUUAGCGGGUGAUCGGCCACACUGGGACUGAGAUACGGCCCAGACUCCUACGGGAGGCAGCAGUCGAGAGGCUUCCACAAUGGGGGAAACCCUGAUGGAGCGACGCCGCGUGGGUGAUGAAGGUUUUCGGAUCGUAAAACCCUUUCAGCAGGGACGAUAGAGUCGAUUGAUAAUAUCUUUCGAUUUCAGACGGUACCUGAAUAAGAAGCUCCGGCUAACUCC